rnacentral:lncRNA from 1 species
GAAUUGCUGAAGUUGUGAAGGUUGAUGCUGUGAAUGCGCUCGGUCAUCCCCUUGCAACUGAUGUCACCUGCAGCAUGUCAACGCAGACACAAAACAGGGCAUGGGUCAGAUCUAGCUGGUUGCAUUCCUAACACCUAGGUUUCAGAGUAAAAAUACAGAGUCAGCUUGUGAUGGCAUUCCCUCAAAACAUGGAAGGAAUUGCAGUAAUGAAAGUCAUCAUGUAUUCUAAGAGACUGUUCUGCGAGAGCACAACACAGACGGGGCUAAAGCAGGGAUUGUCUAAGCCCAGUGUGGAGGAACCAUCAAGGAUUUCAGCACGUUUUUUUAGCCAUUGUACAGUUUGUGAAAAUUAAGUUUUACUCUGUGAAUAAAGAAUUGGAUAGAUAAUUCCAGACAACAUUCUGAAAGACACUUACGCCGUCAUUCCAAAGUUGAAAUGAAAUGAGGGGGAGAAGACUUGCUGGGACUAAGGAAAAAAGUCAAUGAAAUCUGAGUGAGAAGCAAAAGUGCUCAGGAGUUAAGAGAAGCAGACGUCCGAAAUUAUCUCCAUGCAUUACCAAAAACCGUGGGCACCACGGCACGGGGAAAACUUACCAGGUACAAUGAGCCAGUGACUGUUACUGAAUUUCUUAAGAUUACACUUUUCCCAACUACUGCAGACUGCUUCAGAAUAGAAGAAGACAACUCUCAUGCCAUCAAGCCGACGGACUUUCAAAAAAAUAAAAGAUGCAUUUCUUUACUUGGCCCAUGAGAAGUAAAAGCAGGCACUGGCAUUCUGCACAGAUGAAAUACUUCCUACGACAGGAAUACAUGCUCACUUGUGGACUUCUCUGUAAUCUGUAGGCAACAUCAGCUCCUGAUUUCUAGGUCUGGAUCUGGGUUCUCUGUAGCACAGGAAGCAUAGUUACUCUGUGAUGAAGAAAAACUCAGAAAACUAUCCAGAUGUGGGAAUUUCUCGGGUAUUCCUUGCACUUGAACUUAAGGAUGAAUGAAGGUAUAUACAAGUCUCUACUUCUCCUACAUAAAUGCCUUGCAUGGCGGGAACUAAAUCAACUACACAGACCCAUACAUCCAGAGAGCAGAGGUGAGCUGGAUACAAGUGGCUUAGAGAUGUGGUGGAAGGAGGCCAGAGCUCCAAGGGAAGGGCAGCAAGGAGACAACAGCAUGGGUUGCAGCUCAGACAACAGGUAAAUAAAACCAAGCAAAGCUGCUGGUCACAGAUUUGACCAGGGUGGCAAGAAAUGACAAGCUACCAUGAGAUUCAACAGUGGCACGGAAGGAUGAUGAGAAGCAAACAGAUUAGGAGAAGCUGCCACCACCGUACAUAGAGGCACAGAUGACCAAGCAGAACAGCACCAGUCCCUGCAAGGUGUGCUCAGAUACAGCUCAGCACAGCCAUCUGGCCAGGAGGGAAUGAUAAUGCACAUGGUGUGCACUGCAGCCGGGAAGUUGAGAACCGCUGUGGGCACCUCAGGACUGAGUCUGGUUACCCUGCUGAUCCAAGAAAUGAAGCCAUCUAAAAUUUUGCCUGCUUUCACAAUUUUCUGUGUGUGUGUGUGUGUAUUAAACAAAGUGAACUAAGAAGC